UACAGAGGGUGCGAGCGUUGUUCGGAAUUAUUGGGCGUAAAGGGCGCGUAGGCGGUGCGGUAAGUCACCUGUGAAACCUCUGGGCUUAACUCAGAGCCUGCAGGCGAAACUACCGUGCUGGAGUGUGGGAGAGGUGCGUGGAAUUCCCGGUGUAGCGGUGAAAUGCGUAGAUAUCUGGAGGAAUACCGGUGGCGAAGGCGGCAUCCUGGACCGACAUUGACGCUGAACGGCGAAAGCUAGGGGAGCAAACGGG
rnacentral:rRNA from 1 species